rnacentral:rRNA from 1 species
GACGAACGCUGGCGGCGUGCUUAACACAUGCAAGUCGAACGGAAAGGCCCUGCUUUUGUGGGGUGCUCGAGUGGCGAACGGGUGAGUAACACGUGAGUAACCUGCCCUUGACUUUUGGAUAACUUCAGGAAACUGGGGCUAAUACCGGAUAGGAGCUCCUGCUGCAUGGUGGUGGUUGGAAAGUUUCGGCGGUUGGGGAUGGACUCGCGGCUUAUCAGCUUGUUGGUGGGGUAGUGGCUUACCAAGGCUUUGACGGGUAGCCGGCCUGAGCGGGUGACCGGCCACAUUGGGACUGAGAUACGGGCCAGACUCCUUCGGGAGGCAGCAGUGGGGAAUAGUGCACUAUGGGCGGAAGCCUGAGGCAGCAACGCCGCGUGCGGGAUGACUGCCUUCGGGUUGUAAACCGCUUUCGCCUGUAACGAAGCGUGAGUGACGGUAAUGGGUAAAGAAGCACCGGCUAACUACGUG